AUUGAACGCUGGCGGCAUGCCUUACACAUGCAAGUCGAACGGCAGCGGGGGAGAAGCUUGCUUUUCCUGCCGGCGAGUGGCGAACGGGUGAGUAAUACAUCGGAACGUGCCCUGUAGUGGGGGAUAACUAGUCGAAAGAUUAGCUAAUACCGCAUACGACCUGAGGGUGAAAGUGGGGGACCGCAAGGCCUCAUGCUAUAGGAGCGGCCGAUGUCUGAUUAGCUAGUUGGUGGGGUAAAGGCAUACCAAGGCGACGAUCAGUAGCUGGUCUGAGAGGACGAUCAGCCACACUGGGACUGAGACACGGCCCAGACUCCUACGGGAGGCAGCAGUGGGGAAUUUUGGACAAUGGGCGAAAGCCUGAUCCAGCAAUGCCGCGUGUGUGAAGAAGGCCUUCGGGUUGUAAAGCACUUUUGUCCGGAAAGAAAUGGCUCUGGUUAAUACCUGGGGUCGAUGACGGUACCGGAAGAAUAAGGACCGGCUAACUACGUGCCAGCAGCCGCAGUAA
rnacentral:rRNA from 1 species